AUUGAACGCUGGCGGCAGGCUUAACACAUGCAAGUCGAGCGAGCGGCGGACGGGUGAGUAAUGUCUGGGAACGUGCCUGAUGGAGGGGGAUAACUACUGGAAACGGUAGCUAAUACCGCAUACCAUCAGAUGUACCCAUAUGGGAUUAGCUAGUAGGUGGGGUAAUGGCUCACCUAGGCGACGAUCCCUAGCUGGUCUGAGAGGAUGACCAGCCACACGGGAACUGAGACACGGCCCAGACUCCUACGGGAGGCAGCAGUGGGGAAUAUUGCAAAAUGGGCGCAAGCCGGAUGCAGCCAUGCCGCGUGUGUGAAGAAGGCCUUAGGGUUGUAAAGCACUUUCAGUGAGGAGGCGUUACCCGCAGAAGAAGCACCGGCUAACUCCGUGCCAGCAGCCGCGGUAAUAC
rnacentral:rRNA from 1 species